rnacentral:rRNA from 1 species
UACGAAGGGGGCUAGCGUUGCUCGGAAUCACUGGGCGUAAAGCGCACGUAGGCGGCUUCUUAAGUCAGGGGUGAAAUCCUGGAGCUCAACUCCAGAACUGCCUUUGAUACUGAGGAGCUUGAGUCCGGGAGAGGUGAGUGGAACUGCGAGUGUAGAGGUGAAAUUCGUAGAUAUUCGCAAGAACACCAGUGGCGAAGGCGGCUCUCUGGGACGGUACUGACGCUGAGACGCGAAAGCGUGGGGAGCAAACAGG